UACGUAGGGGGCAAGCGUUGUCCGGAUUUAUUGGGCGUAAAGAGCGUGUAGGCGGCCAGGUAGGUCCGUUGUGAAAACUGGAGGCUUAACCUCCGGCUGUCGAUGGAAACCAUCUGGCUAGAGUCCGGAAGAGGAGAGUGGAACUGCGAGUGUAGAGGUGAAAUUCGUAGGUAUUCGCAAGAACACCAGUGGCGAAGGCGGCUCACUGGCCCGGUACUGACGCUGAGGUGCGAAAGCGUGGGGAGCAAACAGG
rnacentral:rRNA from 1 species